UAAGCGGAGGAAAAGAAACUAACAAGGAUUCCCCUAGUAACUGCGAGUGAAGCGGGAAAAGCUCAAAUUUGGAAUCUGGUGGUCUUUGGCCAUCCGAGUUGUAAUUUAGAGAAGCGUCUUCCGCGCUGGACCGUGCACAAGUCUCCUGGAAUGGAGCGUCAUAGAGGGUGAGAAUCCCGUCUUUGGCAUGGAAUCCCAGGGCUUCUGUGAUGCGCUCUCGACGAGUCGAGUUGUUUGGGAAUGCAGCUCAAAAUGGGUGGUGAACUCCAUCUAAAGCUAAAUAUUGGCGAGAGACCGAUAGCGAACAAGUACCGUGAGGGAAAGAUGAAAAGCACUUUGGAAAGAGAGUGAAACAGUACGUGAAAUUGUUGAAAGGGAAACGCUUGAAGUCAGUCGCGUCGACCGAGACUCAGCCUUGCCUCGGCUUGGUGUACUUCUCGCCUUGACGGGUCAGCAUCGAUUUCAAUCCUCGGAUAAUGGCAAGGGAAAGGUAGCACCUUUUUAGGUGUGUUAUAGUCCUCUGUCGCAUGCGAGGGUCGGGAUCGAGGAACUCAGCACGCACCUCAGGGUGUCGGGGCCUUGGCCCACGUUUACGUGCUUAGGAUGCUGGCGUAAUGGCUUUAAACGACC
rnacentral:rRNA from 1 species